GGUGGCAGUGUUGAAAAUGCGAUGGAUUACAUUUACCAUGUUAAAGGGAAACGUUUGGACUGAAAUGAUGGAAUGCCAGUAGUCCUAAUAAAAAACUAGUGGCCUAUAAACUACGGGGGCGCCAGGUGGAUCACGGGCUAAUGAGUAGGCUACUGUUUAUCCUUGCUUCACCCAUACAUAUCGGACUACAAUAAACAUCUCUUAACCAACUUCGCACAGAUUGUAUUAUAUUAUACGACUCAUGUUAACCAACCACAGACUGAAUGAAAAUGGAAAAUAAACAGCUGAAGAAGGUCUCUCCGUCCUCCGAUGCACCUCUGGGAGGGUGAAGGUUGACUGUCUGGCACAGGGACAGGGCUUGUCCAGAACGUUCUGAGAAGAUGGCAUUCCAACUUCCGUGUCUGCUAAUGGUCUGCACUGCAGCUGCCACUGCGCUGCUCUCUCUCUCUCACAGACACACAAACACUACCUGGAUCUCUCUCUGUAGCUGCUCUC